CAAAUGAUGCAGGGAAGGAGAGAAGACAGACCUGCUUUUAAAAAAAGUCCUAUCUAAAGUCAGACAUCCAGAAUUUGCAUUUGGAAGAUCAUGAGACAAAAACAGAAAACAUCAAAGCAACAGAACACUAAUACAGGUGGAAAAGAUUACAUCUACCUUUUACUUGAAGAUACUUGGAGUGAAUUCGUGGGGAGAAUGUGGCCUGAGCAGUUCCUUGACGAACAGGCCAGUUGAAGAGCUGACCUUCUACAAUUUCCCUUCACCAUCAUCCUGAGAUCCCUCUGCUUCUCUGCUGUGCUGGAUCCCUUCUUUUCCUUGAAUGAUGUUUUACUUUUACUUGGUUUAUUCCCUUGUAUUAAUAGAGCACAUCUUCCAAGAGUUUCCUAGGAAAGGUGCAUAGGGAGAUUUUUUUUUUAAGGACCUCCAUGUCUGAAAAGACUUUUCUACCAUGUAUUUGACUGAUAGUUUGGCACAUAUAGGCACACCUGGUUUUUACUGUGCUUCACUUUAUUGUGCUUCGCAGAGACUGCAUUUUUUACAAAUUGAAGGUUGUGGCAAUCCUGCAUCGAGGAAGUCUAUUAGCGCCACUUUUUCCAACGGCAUUUGCUCACUUCACCUCUCUCUGCCACAUUUUGGUAAUUUUUACA